CCUACGGGUGGCAGCAGUGGGGAAUAUUGCACAAUGGGGGAAACCCUGAUGCAGCAACGCCGCGUGAGUGAAGAAGUAUUUCGGUAUGUAAAGCUCUAUCAGCAGGGAAGAAAAUGACAGUACCUGACUAAGAAGCCCCGGCUAACUACGUGCCAGCAGCCGCGGUAAUACGUAGGGGGCAAGCGUUAUCCGGAUUUACUGGGUGUAAAGGGAGCGUAGACGGCUGCGCAAGUCAGAAGUGAAAGCCCGGGGCUCAACCGCGGGACUGCUUUUGAAACUGUGUAGCUAGAGUGCAGGAGAGGUAAGUGGAAUUCCUAGUGUAGCGGUGAAAUGCGUAGAUAUUAGGAGGAACACCGGUGGCGAAGGCAGCUUACUAAACUGCCACUGACAUUGAUGCUCGAAAGUGUGGGUAUCAAACAGGAUUAGAUACCCCAGUAGUC
rnacentral:rRNA from 1 species